CAAUCUUAAUUUAAUUCUAGUUAAAAUCUUAUUGAACUUCAUUCAAACUUUAGGCCAAAACUAAUUGAAUCUUAAAUCUUAAUAAUAUCCUAAAUCCUAAAUCAAACCCUAAACAAACCUUAAACCAAACUCCAACCAAAUCCUAAAUCAAAUCCUAAACCAAACCCUAAUCCUAAAUCAAAUCGUAACCAAAUCUUAAUCCAAAUUCUAAAUCCUAAACCAAACCCUAACCAAACCCUAAAUCCUAAAUAAAUCCUAAAUCCCAAAUCCUAAACUAAAUCCUAAAUCCUAAAUCAAACCCUAAUCCAAACCCUAAAUCCUAAAUAAAUCUUAAACUCCAAACCCUAAAUCAAACCUUAAACCCUAAAUCAAAUCCUAAUCCAAAUUCUAAAUCCUAAAUAAAUCCUAAACCCCAAAUCCUAAAUCAAAUCUUAAACCCUAAAUCAAAUCCUAUUCCAAACCCUAAACCCUAAACCAAAC
rnacentral:lncRNA from 1 species